rnacentral:rRNA from 1 species
AGCCCGUUCUCUUUGAGGUCGGGCAUUGGAAUGGAUGGAAUCUAAACAGUUCCAUGAGUAUCAACGAGAGGGCAAGUCUGGUGCCAGCAGCCGCGGUAAUUCCAGCUCUCGUAAUGUAUAGAAUUAUUGUUGCGGUUAAAAAGUUCGUAGUUGGAUUUUCUACCGUUCGGCGGUUGGGUUUAACGACUCAGACUGUCGGCGGUUUUUGCGCUAUGACUGGCUUGCUAGUCUUAGUGCGGAUUACUUUGAACGGCUUAAGUGCUCAAGGCGAGUCUUCGGACUGAAUACCGGUGCAUGGAAUAAUGAACAAGGUCACGGCCGAGUUUUAUUGGUUUUGUCGGCUGAGACAAUGGUUAACAGGAACAGCUGGGGGCACUCGUAUCGCUGCGCGAGAGGUGAAAUUCGAGGACCGCAGCGAGACGCCCUAAAGCGAAGGCAUUUGCCAAGAGUGUUUUCAUUAAUCAAGAACGAAAGUCAGAGGUUCGAAGGCGAUUAGAUACCGCCCUAGUUCUGACCGUAAACGAUGCCAACUAUCAAUCCGCCAGUGGCUUUUAGUCAUUGGCGGGCGGAUCGACGGAAACGAAAGUUUUUCGGUUCCGGGGGAAGUAUGGUUGCAAAGCUGAAACUUAAAGGAAUUGACGGAAGGGCACCACCAGGAGUGGAGCUUGCGGCUUAAUUUGACCCAACACGGGAAACCUCACCCGGCCAGUACAUCAUAAGGAUUGACAGAUUGAAAGCUCUUUCAUGAUUUGAUGAAUGGUGGUGCAUGGCCGUUCUUAGUUCGUGGCGUGAGUCGUCUGCUUAAUUGCGAUAACGAGCGAGACUCCGACUGCUAAAUACUGUCUGGAUAAUUUCGUCCUUCACAGUUCUUAGCUGGAUUCGAGACUCCAAGUCUCAAGAAAUGGAGCAAUAACAGGUCUGUGAUGCCCUUAGAUGUUCGGGGCCGCACGCGUGCUACAAUGAUGGUAACAGCGUGAUUGUCCUCGCUCGACAGAGCUUGGCAAACAGUUGAGAUAUUAUUAUGGCUGGAAUUGAGUGUUGAAAUUUUCUCUCAUGAACGAGGAAUUCCAAGUAAAUGCGCGUCAUCAACGUGCAUUGAUUACGUCCCUGCCCUUUGUACACACCGCCCGUCGCUACCCGGGACUGAGUUGUUUCGAGAAAUCUACGGACCGAUUGUGCGUUGGCAACAACUCAC